UCGAGGAAUACCUCCUCUUUUCUUUAUUUGUGUUUGCCUAAGAUAAAGUUGUGGACUUACUUAUCUUUGCUUCAGACAAAGAUAAGGAUUGACACCUUCGCCCAUCUUGGGACCAAGGAUGGAAUGUAAACAAGAAGGCUGCGGGAUAAAAUUUAUGAAGGGCUAAUUGCGAUUAGGUGGGCGCCUAUCCCCUCGUCUGUCCCCUUCCCCUUUGUUUGUAUUUGCAUUAACAGAAGAAUGUAGGCUGACCUUCGAACACCUGCCUAUCCCUUGAUCAAGAUUAGGGUUUCUGGAAUGUAGAGUUGUACAUUCCUGUAGGUUUUUUGUCUAAGUAGUCUUUACCUAUAAAAGUUCUGUGUGAAGCAAAUAAAAUUGGCACUAUUUCUCUCUUUUCAUAUAGUGUCCACCUCUUCUUUUGUUACUCUUCAUUUUUCGUUACCCCAAACAGGAUGUCACAGGACUGGCCGACCCUGUGGAUGAGUCUUGUAAGCCAUAGAAUCUUACAAAUGGCUGCCCGGACAGGGACUUUCAUUCGUAACCCCGAUUCCUUUGCUGGUCAUAGGAUGACGAAGAGUUAACAGCUUUUGCCCCAAGACUGCAGCUCGGAUGGGCAGAAGAAUCGAACAGAGAGAGUGCAGUAUUUGUGGGCCUCCUCUGUUCCCCAACUUUUUCUCUCUCUUUCGCUUUUUAGUUUAAACUGUCCCCUAUUAGGGACCCCCUUCCCCCCUUUCUUUUCUUUUCUUGGAACCCUUCCUUCAGUUUUCUUUGGAGAACCCCCGACGCUGUGUGCUGGUCAUGCAGUUUCAAUGCUAUGGAGAUCCCCUUGGUGGUGAGCAUACGAGAUACUCUAAGGGUAAAGACAGAGUAUGGCUCCCUCCCUGCUGAGUUCAAGAAAUUGACCAUAAAGAGAAGGACAAGGAGAGGACACAGGAAGCCUCACAAGGAGACUCGACAACAUCUCCAUAAGAUACUGACUCUUCUGCUUCUGCUUCUGCUUCUAUUCCAGACUUUAAGUGAAGCUACUGGAGUAAAGAGAUGGUCUUUGGGGAAUAACCACCUUGGGUAGAGUAUGUCAGCAUGGGACACGCUUUACCAGAAGUCAUCUUAUAUACAAAAACUAACUGAUAUUCCUGGCAUUUACCAUUUUGAGAGACAAGCUAAGGACAACAAUCAGGACAACAAUUUGUUUGUGCCUUUCAAUUGGACUGGACUAGUUGAGGCACCCCCAGUGUGCCUCGCAAGAGACCAUCCUGCAUGCCUGCCCCUCAGAUCUCUGCAGGUGCAUUAUUAUGGUCAUCCUGACCUGUCAGACUCUUUCUGGAUAGGACCUUAUCGUGUAGAUAAAAGGGAAAAAUAUGAAGAUUAUGGCCAACUGCAAUAUCUAGGUUGGCUAGGGGAAUCUUGUGAUAGUAUUUGGGGACAAGAAAGACCUAUUUGUCCAUAUGUGAUGGGAUAUGAACAAAGAGACACUGUUAAUAUGUUUCUGCCCUUGCUGUCAUAUAGAUCUAAAAGGGCAUCAUGUAUUCAUUGGAAAAAUAUGAUUUGGAUGUAUUGGCAUAACAACACAAGGUGUACUGGAAAGAAAUUGGAUUCUUAUAAAUUUCAUGAUUGUUUUAUAGGAUACAGCUCACCUUUGUGGGUGAUGCCCCCAGAGCUAAUUGGUUACAUUUUGCUAAUUUCAUACAGAUUUUGACUGAUUAUGGAAAGAUAGCCCUGGCAUUGGAUAAAGUAAAUAUGUCUCAUUAUGUUAAUGUUACUUAUAAUGGAAAAGUCCAAAAUCCAGUAACUAGAAGUGUUACAUUAGGCAUUCAACGUAAACACUCAGGGGGGUGGUAUCACUCACCGGCAGAUAGAGCAAUGGAAUAAUUGUCUCAACUAAUCAGCCCUAAGAAAAGAAGAUGUAUUUCUUGCUUAGUUUUAGGAAUUGUAGCUCUUAUAGCCACUAUAACAGCCACAACUGUCAGUAGUGUUUCACUAGCACAAAGUGUAGCUAAUGUACGGACCCUGGAACAUGAUGCAGAAUACUUAUGUGGGCUAGCACAGAAUGUGACCCAGGUUUUACACUUGCAGCAGGAUAUUAAUACAAGGGUUUUUUUAUGCUUUACAACAAAUAUCUAAAGAUGUAUUGUUAUUAACCAAUCAAGUAGAAAUUUUAGCUAUCAAGGGUAAAUUAAGGUGUGAUUAUCGCUAUUCAGCCUUUUGCCUUCUUCCUGUUAAAGCUAACAUGUCUGAUGCAUUCGAAAAAAUUAGAAGUGAUUUACAAGGUCUUUGGUUAAAGAGUAACAUCUCAGAGGACAUCCAACAAUUGAACCAUAUCAUUGAUGAGAUGGAUAACUCUUUAGCUGAGGACCUUCGCCCCGAACAUAUCGCUGAUUCGUUAUACAAUUGGAUCAAGUCAGGCCAAAGUUGGCUGUCUCCUUUGGCUCAAAUGAGUAUAACCAUAUUAACCUUCAUAUUGUUCAUAGUUAUCUUAGCGGUCCUUCUUCCCUGUCUGUUCCAAAUCCUUUUGUCCAGCUUGGGAAAAAUUGGCCGAAUCUUGGCUCUCCACAGAAGUCUUUUGCAGAACAAAUAGGGGGAAUUGUAGUCGAGGAAUACCUCCUCUUUUCUUUAUUUGUGUUUGCCUAAGAUAAAGUUGUGGACUUACUUAUCUUUGCUUCAGACAAAGAUAAGGAUUGACACCUUCGCCCAUCUUGGGACCAAGGAUGGAAUGUAAACAAGAAGGCUGCGGGAUAAAAUUUAUGAAGGGCUAAUUGCGAUUAGGUGGGCGCCUAUCCCCUCGUCUGUCCCCUUCCCCUUUGUUUGUAUUUGCAUUAACAGAAGAAUGUAGGCUGACCUUCGAACACCUGCCUAUCCCUUGAUCAAGAUUAGGGUUUCUGGAAUGUAGAGUUGUACAUUCCUGUAGGUUUUUUGUCUAAGUAGUCUUUACCUAUAAAAGUUCUGUGUGAAGCAAAUAAAAUUGGCACUAUUUCUCUCUUUUCA